AAGAAAAGAACAGCAUUCUCACCUCUAGGAUAAUUUCUGCCAGCAUUUUAAUAAAUAAGAAAACUCUGUAUUUUAAUCAAUGGUACACCAAUUCUUGCCCAGACUAGUUCUAGCUUUUAUUCAAAUUGUAUCCUCUAGUUUCUCAGGGUCUAGAAGGCAGUUAUAAUUCUCAGCACUUUGACUCUUAAUGUUUAAGAAACAGCAGUUGGCUUGAUGUCUGACUUCUCCAUCAAAUGUGCCUGCAGACAGUAUUUUGUUGUGCUCCGCUGUAGGUCCCCCACUGCUGUUUGCUGAGAAGGGCUAGCAGCCAGCCCCGAGGGAUCGUAAUAAUUCAUUUUUGUUUGAAACUACUGACACUGCAGAGAAGGAGCGGGAAUGGUUGGAAAGGAAGGAACUAUUGAAAACUACGGUCACUGCGUCUCUUGAAGAUUAAGUUUCACUUGCACUACAAAAAAAGAAAAGCAAAACACUCCAAAUCAAGUCCACUGUUAAUAAAAACACAACUGAUUCCACAAGAAUUUUCCCGAUUAUUGAGAAUUUUUUCCUCAUUUUGCAAAACCACGCACCACCCAGUUAUCACCAGUAGACACCCAACACACCCACUACUCUGCCAGUGAAGCACCUUUAUUCUGACUGCACUGUAACAUUUGAUUUAUAAUUGUGCAUUUCUGUCAGUUUUUAAAACUGCUUUUUUCUCAAAUUUGCACAGAUGCCAAGUCCACUUCAGGAGCACAGGAUGGCAGCUGUUAGCAUACAACCAAAGCUCUGAUCCCACGGAUGUAAAAUUAAUUCCAUGCUUGAUGGUUCCUGUCUCCACCAACUCCAGAAGGGCUGAGGCAUUUCCUCUCAAGACAGCAGCUACUCCUUGUGCAAGAGGAACCAAACCUUUCCAUCUAUCAGAUUUAUCUUUAUUCUCUAGAAAGAGGAAGGAAGGGCUGCUGACCUUUACUUGAGAAUAUUAAUUCCAGUCUACCUUUAUCUAAAGCAUGGGAGGAAGGAAAAGUCAAGAUCAGAGGCCAGGACUGUCUCCAGGGAACCAAACCUUGAGGACAAACAGGAAUUCUCACACAGUUGCCAGCUGUCAGAAUAAGACAACCAGACACACAGAAGAGCUCAGCUGCCUGAGAUGAUUUCUGCUGUCCUUGGAUAUUAGUCCCAGUUGAACACCUCCACAAAAAAACAAGGUAAAGAGUACACGUACAGACUUUGCAGUCUUCAGAGAGGGUGGAGAGGAAGGAGAGAGAGAAAAAAAAAAACUGUAAGUAGUAGAAGGUUGAGGAUGAGAAAAGCUGCUUCUCACAGCAAUGUCAAACCAAUGUGCUGCACAACCAAGAGUUUAGACCAACUACAAAGGACAAGUCACAAGCUGGAAGCAAAAGGACAAGAGAUGCCCUUGGAACCACUGCAGAUAGUUCACAGUUUCUCAAGUGAAUCUCGGAAUCCAUGAAGUUGGUACUGUGGAAUUACUUUUUAUUUAUACUCACCCAGAACACUCCACAAUCUUUCAGAGUUAUCACAUAGUGUUAGUUGCCUCAGUAUGAAAAAACAAGACUUUACUUCAACCAAAUUCUUGCAUAAUACAUUAUCACCAUUAAACCUUAAAAUCAGUGAGCUCAUUUGAUAGGGAGGAAAAAAAAUAUAUAUACACAAUAAAGGUUCUCUGGUGUUUGAGUGCCCCUUUUUCUGCAAGGUGUACUAAGAGAUACAGUGACUUUCAAGGUACAUACAUCAAUAUCACUCCUUUCUCACUGCUUGUUCAUUAGUAUAGGUACACUGUUCAUUUUUAUGGCCAUUAGUCACUGAUUUUUUUUAAGGUUUUACUACUUCUUUAAGAAAGGUUUAGUUCUGUGUGUGGUUUGGUUUUGCAUUGUUUUAAAUCAUGAAGUUACAUAUUCUCUAACCCUCCUGCAAGAUUAUGCAAAGAUUUUCAAGCAUUUGCUAGAUUGUUAAGUAUUUAAAUUCAUUUAUACAGUUCUUAGAAAGCAGCCCAGAUUAACACACCAAUUACAUAAUGUACACUGAAAAUUAAAGUUCAGCACUUCACUGGAAGUUCAGUAUAUAAAUCCAGAAAGCCUGGCUUGUUUAGAAAGCUCAGUAUUCUGUACAGAAAAAAUCCCACAACACAACAAAAACAAUCUUUUAAAAUAUUUUUAUAAUAUUUUUAAAAUAUUUGAGAUUUUCUUAAAUUUGGGGACUGUGCUAGAGCAAGUUAAGGACAGAAGACUUCAAGUAAAAGCCAACUAGACUGGUUUGCAGUCAAUGCUACUACUAACAGUUGGCAUCCACACAUGAACUUCCAACGUUUUUUAAUUUAUUGUUUUCCAUAUAAUUUCCUUUGUGAAAUUCUACUAUUAAACUGAGACUAAAAGCCUCCUAACAACUAUCUAACAGCAGCCAGUUGACAUUACAUCUCUCAGUAACCAUUCUUAUUUACUAAAAUAUAGUAGAAGGCAAGAGAUGGUUUAAAUCUGCAUGUUUUAUCCCAAACUUCUUUGCUAGAAGGAUAAACAGGCAUUUGAUCAAGCUACCAGACUGGCUAAUUUUGCUUCAGAAAAACUAGAAAAGGUACCGAAAUAAAGACAGAAAGGCAGUGAGGAUUCUCAUUCUCUGUAUGCACAAACCAACCACAAGCUUCAUCACCAUUAUGGGAAUUACCCAUUCCCAUUCAGAUUUAAAUUUCAUCUUUAGAAAAAACAAGAAAGUUUUAUUAUUUGAAGUCAUUUCAAGUGAUAUCUAAAAUAUCACCCAUCCUUUGUUAAUAUCAGAAGUUUCAUGCUGAGCAGAAAUCAGUAUGAAGAAAGUGAAUCAGUUCAGCCUGACUUCCUGUAAACUGAUUUCAGUACAUCGAAACAAGUACAUUUAAAAUUUUGAAGCACAAGAUGGUUCCUGUAAAUGAACAUGAGCACAGUUCCAUUUCAUAACUUACCAUCCUCUCCCCUUACACAGAAAGGGCAUGUGAUUUGAUCUAUAUAGCUAUAAGGCAUGUGUUCUGCAGGAACAAAAACUUGCCAGAAGUUAUACUCUGAAUUCCUGUCAGCUGUACAACAACUUUAGUGAGCAAUGAAAAUCAUUACCAGACCUUCUAUGAAGCUGUCUUUUCCUACCUCCUCCAGUUGUCCAUUCUGACAAACUUUUUUCUUAAUUUUGAUAAAUACAACAAAAGGUUACCUGUGGGUUUGUGUGCUGUUGGGUUGGGGUCUUUUUUAUGACUGCUUUUAAUCAUGUCUUUCCUACUGAAGCUACCUGGCUGGCUUCCUUUCAUAUAAGUAAGACUAUACAAUUCACUCAUAUAUUUAGAAAAAAGACAAUUAUGUGAUGCUUAAUUGAAUUCCUGUUUCAGAAUUUAAACUCAGCCUGGCAUCUGAAUGACGACAAUGAAAUAUUUGGGAUCUAAUUUGCAUAAUGUAAGAAGAUCCAGUUCCAUGACUAUCACCCUGACAGCCUUCACCAAGCAACAAACUCAGUGUGUCUUGCCAGCUGAAAGCUGAACAAGCUUUUACUCUUUUCCUUAUCUCCCACUUUUGACCCCAAUGAAUACGUUAGCUCAAGACUUUUGGUUCUGAACACAUGUGGGCACACUGCCCACUAACUACGUUUUUUGAAUGCUGGGCAUUUUUAUUAUUAACAAACAACUUCAAAGGCUUCUAAGGUACUAGUACUGCAUGUAGUUCCGAAAGUAAUGCCUCCUGUUUACUUCCAUGGAAACUCCAACAGAUGCAAAGAGCACAAUAUCACUGUUUAAUAGAUAAAGUUCUCAGCUACAAAACACUAUUUUUCAACAGUCAUCACCAUUAGCUGUGCAUUUUCAUCAGCAAUGAACAAAGAGCCUGCAUGCUGCACUCGUAAACAUCUGCACCAGCAGAGGUGACCACUGUCACCAUGGCCGAAACGCACCACCCACGCCUCCCUGUGCCAACAUCCACUGCUUGGUCUCCAUAAACAUCCAGCAAGUGUCAAGGAAUGUCAAUGGGAAUGCCAGUUUUCCCAUUGUGGGGGUCACUAUGCUUAUCUCGUGAGAUGUAAGCAAACUCCUACAAGAUUAAAGGACCCAGAGCACCUACACAAAGAUUGUUCUCUGUGGUCUUGAUGAGUAAUAUCACACUUGCCAAGUUUCAAAGUAAGGAGCCCCACAUAUUUGAGGAGCUGAAGUUUAUGUAAGCCUUGAUUAAGUUGUUACUGUGUUGUUUUUUUUUUUUCUCCAGAGACUUCACUUUAUAUUAAAAUAUAUACUUCACAUUCACUGAGCUACAAACGAAACUGAUCUGUGGUAUUUGUGUCCUUUCACCUUUUCCUGGAAAGUAUGUUGACUAAAAGCCAAACAAACAGCACAGCACAUCAACUGCUUCAUAGACAAACACUGCAGUCAUUUUGCUCAGGACAAAUAUUUUUAAAGAAACAAAAGGAAAUUGUAAAUGUUUGAUCAAAAAAAAGAAAAAGAAGGAAAUAUCAACAUUUGUGCAUUCAUCUUAUUAGCAGUUUAUACUUUCUUUGUGAAAACGUUUUUAAUAAAAAAUUUAAUUUUUAAUAAAAUACCAACCACAAAUAAGCUGUGAACACUGCCUCACUAUCGUUCCCUCUUCUCCUUAAUUGAAACUGAUCAAGUGGUAUCCAUGAAGCGUGAAGGAUUUAAGCUAGGAGCAAGGUGAACAAAUGGAUUUAAUGGACUCAUCCACAAAAAUGACAAGAUCUACAAGUGACUACAAAAUAAAGAUCUUAGGAACAUUCGGGAUGCGGGUAAAAUUGUUAUCUACUACAAAGUCAUUACCUCUUUUAAAUUCAACAGUUUGCUUAUCCAAUAGAAGAAAAAAAUAUUUGCCAGGCUCUUGGGAUUGUUAUAGUUCUAAUUUUCAAGGCAAGCCUAGCAAGUCAGAGAAGGAAAAGUUUUCUUAAAUAGUCUCUCAGUGGUAAAGAGAAGAAAUACAGAGCUUUCGCUUUUGGAGAGUUUGACUUCACACCCAUGCAUUUAGUUAGCACUGGAACAGUUCCCUGGAGGGUAUCUGAUUCCUUGAAUAAGAUCACAAUGACUUUUAACCAUGGAUUCAGCAACUAGAAACAUAUUUUUUUCCAGUUUUCAGCUUGUUCUGCUGCACUCCCUUCUUUUCCAAAUGGAUGAUGAGGUUCAAAUAGACAAAAAGCUAUUCCAAUUCUCUUGAAUGGUGCCAUAUCUACAUGAAAGUGGUGCUUCAGAUGCUAGUAAUGAAGGCCAAGAACAGUUUACAAAUAGUACUUGAUAACAGGAAAUAAGAUCAUUUCAGCAUUUUUGGUGGUCAGGUGCCCAAAACAAAUAUUGAAAGGUAAGUGGAAUUAGAGAUGGCUACAUGAAGACUCUUUAAUUAAAAGCAAAACGUGGUCCAUUUUCAGAGAGAAGAAAUACUAAACGUAAAGAGGUCUUAGAGCACGAGAUGCGUCUGAAAACAGAAAAGCUGAAUUUUUACAAGAGCUCCAGAGUUCUGAUCCUAUAUACUUAUCAAACUAUUUAUAAAUACAACAAUGUAACUUUGACCUUACAAUAUCUCCUAGAAAGCAGCCAAUGAAAGAAGUAAUAGGAAAAGCAGGAAAGUUCAUCCACUCUAUGACUUCCCACCAAUUCACUUUUCCUAUGCUGUUAACAUAGCAUUAGAAUUUGCAUGCAAAGAGAAAAAGGGGCUGUGGAAGAACACACUCUGCAAGUUCAUUAGAGACUUAAAGCUACAAAAAUAUCCAUUUAGGACUUAAAAAGGAAAACGUUUCUUCACAUCACUGCUAUUGUUCUUCAAAUGUUCUAAUGUUAAGUUUGCUGUUGUUGCCAACAUUACAUUCCAAAAUAACCAUUUAAGUCAACUUGAACUGCUGCAACAUUAAAAGGUUUCAGUGAGCAAGAAAACACCUUUCAGCUAGAGUAAAGAUUUUGAUCUACCUGAUCUCUACCAAACAGCCAUUAUUGUGGCUGCAUCUUCCCUCAAGAACUGCAAAGACACCAGUUAAGGAAGUCACCCACUGAAAACCAUUAGAAGACACUUCUUGGUUGCUAUUAUGGAUGCUCCUUGCAUUCUCCAAGCACAUUAGUUUUGAUCUGCAGUGCUCUAACUCAUUUGGCUUUUAACUUCAGAACCAGCAAUUCUCACUACCAUUUUAGGAAUCCAGCUACUACACUGUAAUGCUCUUUGGUUAACAGCUGUGUAGGAACAACUAUACACUUUUCCUUUCAGAAGGGAGGAUAUCUCUCUGAGCAAUUUUUCUAGCUCCUGUAGAAUGCUUUUGUCUUCCCCGGUCCCCAGAGACAAGGGGAGAAAGUUUUAUAUUACCUCCCCUCCCCCUUUACGAGUUUAUAAAAAUAAAAACAAAAAACUGUGACUGGAAGCGGAGAUCACUGAGCACCGUUGGAGCCAGGCCUGGAAAUCAUGCAUUUCCUUUACGUUUCUGGAGAGAAAGUAUUUCAAAAUAGAAAAGUACAUCUACAUUAACUGUCAAUAUCUACAUUAAGUGUCAAUGGCCUCUUUUCCAUCAUGACACAAAAUCAGAAACAAAAAGAAUAAGAACAAUUUUCUGGAGUUUUUCUAGUUUUUAUUUUCUUGAUUUGAGUUGGUCUGGACGUCUCUUACCAUCAUGAAAAACAGAAGUGAAAAAUAUAAAGCUCACGUAAACAGAAUUAAUUUUAAACCAUCAUUUUCGACAUCCAGCACUGACUAAACUCAGAUCUUACCUGUUGCAAUUUAGAAGAGAUACAGUAAGUAAGCUACUGGUGUUAACAGAAUUAAAAGGGAAUUAAAACAGUUUUUUUAAAAACUGAAUUCUUAUCUGGAGUAAAAGUAGCUAUGCAUGUUUUCAUAAACCACAGUCAGCUAAAGUGGUUUUAGACACCAGCAUGCCAUACGCUACAUUAAAAUUAGACUGAUAUAAAAUUAAAGAAAAAAGGCAAUGUAUUCGUACAUGAAGUACUUCCGUUCAUUACACGUAUGUUCUGAGGAAUAGAUUUUGCUCAUCUAAUGAUCUUUGCAGAAAGUACCAAAGGAAGCAUAUAGGCAAAAAAGGAAAUAGUUUAGAAUUUAAUUUCAAAGUUGGUCUUGUCACUAACUCAUAGAAUUGUAAGCACUUAAUACGAUGUGACUUAUAUCAGUACUUUCCAAACUCGUGUACUACUGCAGUUAUUUCUUGAAGUACAAACAGGUAAAUUACAAUGGGUUUUUUUGUUGUUGUUUGUUGUUUUGUUUUUUUUUUUAAACAAGAUCUGUAUGUUGGUUAUACCUCAAGGAUCAACAGAAAAGCAUUUUUUGAUGCAAACAAUAGCAUGGAAGAAAUUCUUGGAGAAAGGGAACUCUCUUGGAGGGGGAGAAAGGGAGGAAUAUGUACACUAGGGAGACUAUCUGUAAUGAACUUACAGAAAACAACAAUUAUUUCACUCCAGGGAUCCUGCCUUUUCCUCUGAGGAAGCUUUCAGUCCAAACUCACGCAAGUCUUAGACGUGAUUACAGUGUACCACAGCCCCGAUGCUUCUUGAAGAGCUUUGUUUUGUCUGUGUAUCACACUGUUCGUUCUGAGCUAAAAAGUAACAUACUGUUUGCACUAAAAAUGUUGACUGUACUUUGUUAAUCAGUGGGAUAAAUAUACAUUAAUAUAAUUUUUGAAGGUAAUAACAUAGGUACUAUUGAGAACCAGAAACAUUAGAAACUGGCUAAAAAUAGUAAUUUGAAUUCCUAGGUUAGUCAGCUUGGCGGAAACAGUUGUGUUCACCGUCCUUUCACCCUCUAAUUAGUUUGCAUAUUGUAAGAGUUUCAAAGGUUAUUUCUCUCUUAGAAACCUACCAAAUUAGCCUUCACAGCACAAUACUGUUACCAUAUUAAAUGCAACAGCAACAGAUUAUUCAGACUGUAGAGACUUACCACUAUUUUUUCUGUAAUGUUUCAUUUAUAUAGGCAUAUAUUCUUAUUUGAUAGGGUAAAGACAAUCUCCUCUCUAUCUGGAACAUUCAGAAGAGCCUGUCUCAAAAGGAAAAGGUCCAGUUCAUAGCUGCUCACUUAUAAAAUCCUUGUUUAAAGAGCUCUGAAAUCUAAUUUCAGUAAUCACUGCACAGAAGUGUAGCUCCUAUAUCUACUUAGCAGCAAUAACAUGAAAUCAGUAAGACUUGAAAAUACUUCUUAAGCACAAUACACCAGAACUGACAUGAAGUUUUAUUGUGAGCCCUCUGUGUUUUAGGGAUAGAGAACAGAAUGUUUGUAUCUUGGAGACUUUUGCAUUCAGAUGAUGGAAGAAAUGGUUUAGAAAUCGAAGCUAUUUUUUUAGCCAAACUGUACUUGUAAUAUUACUGUACCUUGUCUAUCCAGCCCAAGUUACUGCUAAGUAAUACUCUGAUCACAUUGCAUUGCAAAGGUGAGAUUUUCAAAAUGCCGAGCCUCUCUCCAAAGUAAACAGUCAAAAUAUCACUGAACUAACUUGGUAAAAGCAGUGGUAGGCCAAUGUUGAGUAUGCUUGAAUAUCAAUUAAUUGCCAUAUUGUCAAAGAUGUCACAAUUAAAACAUAGGAGGCUCUACACCUACCAGAUUCUUGGCAGAAAUAGGCAGAUCACUGACAAAUAAUGAGAGAUGAAGAACAUGCAUUAUCACAGCGAGUUUAAAAUAAGCAUUUACAAAUAAGCUGUAUCUAAGCCAUCACAUUUCUAAAUUGUGUAUAUAUUAAGUCUGUUAUUUACUUCUAUUGGUGAAGGCAAAUUUUUAAAUUUACUUUUCCUUACAGAGAACUAUGAAAAACAACUGUAACAAAAAAUGGGUCAAACCUUUAGAAGGACAAAGAAAUACCAAUAAAUGUUUAAUACGCAAAAGAAAGGACUUAAUUCUAAUUCAAGGAAACCUUGUUCACUGCUUUGAAACACUAAGUAACUGCAGUCAGAGUUAAAAGCAAUAUUUUUUUCCUCUCAUGGUUGAGAUCUCACAUGGCAUAAAUCAUUCCAUUCACAUUGAGUACUAUGAACAUCUACAAAUCUAUAUAAUACUAAUAUAUUUACAAAAUUUCAGGGAAUAAAGUCUCACCAUGAACAUGGCAUGGUAAACAUUCAGAUCACUUCACUAUUAUUUUUAUGUUUAGAAUACUGUCAGACAAUGGCUGUAUUUCCAAACUUUCUACUAGUUCCAUGAAAUUUCUCAAAAGUUAUGAGCUCAUAAGUAAAGGAAGCACUAAAACACACAAGAAAGGAAGUGGCAGGAAUCGUUAAAAAGGAAGUUGUGAACUCUACAUUACCUAUUUAAAAAAAAGAAGAAGAAAAAUAUAACUACAUCUUAUUUAAUGAUAAACUUCAUUUCCUUGAAGACGUUUUUAUGUUGUUUUACUGGCUUUCUUGAGAUGCACGCUGCCCAAAUAGGUAUUUGGGAACUCUGAGUAGCUGUACUGGUUAACAAUCACUUGCAGGAAGAAGUUACAAGUGUCCCCUUCCUAAACUAAUUUCAAGGAAGACUUUUGGUCUGAUAUUUGAAGACAUUCUGCAUUACAAAUUUGGAUGAACAACUUGUUUCAUUUGGGAUCUGCUUAACAUUUCUGUUGCUGUUAUCAUCACAGAUGCCCACUUCACUGUACUUAUAAUAUUCAAAUUUGGAAAGGAAAAUUUCAAUGAUGAUUAAAAGCAUACUGAAAUCACCGAAUAGCGCAGUCUACAAGUUGCCAAGCUACUGCAGCGCACACAAAAACCUGCUGAGAACAAACAGUACUGCUGAAAUCAGAUGUUAGAUAAAACAGAAUUAGGAUACUCUCGUUUUCUCACAAGCUGUCUAAUAUGUGCUUAGGACUAAGAAAGAGCUAAACUAGUUUUACUUUACAGCUUACAGCUUUCUAAACCUGAGACAACCAGCUCACUGGACCGAACGGACCUAUGGACUGAAUGCAGCUUUUGGAAUGAGCCAAAUAUUGAUGCCAUCUCCCGUCCUCACAAACACAAGUUUAUACAUUUGUUUACCUGACUAUAUGGCUGCCAGGUCACGUAAGGGCCAGACAGAUCACGUGCCACGUGCACAAGACCAGGGGUCGGUAUCAGGGACAGAACAGACUGUACAGCCUUCACCUGGCUCCAGGGCAGAAUGGCUGGGCACCUCUGCUCUACGUAGAGGUUCAGCGGAAGAAGCUGCACUUAGAGUUGACUGUUUACACAACUAUUUCCAGAGUAGUAAACUGUUCUAAGAAAAAAAAAGAGAAAAAUCAAUACCUUUUUUUGAAAGAGAAGCUUAACCCUUGAAUGCUGACAGCAGAGAUGUUACAUUCAGUGAACUCACACUCAGAGGAGGUAUCUAGAUUGAAACUGGAUCUUGGAGCACCUUGCUUUGCUAGCCGCCCUUCAAGCACAAAAGUGUACAUUAAGUUUUUAGUUACAGUGGAUACUGAUAUUGCUUUUUACUCAAAAUAAGCCUAGCUUCCAAUGCAUGUUAGCAAUUGGUUCUCACAAAGGAAGGGUGAAUAAAACUAUGUCUCCAGAAUAAAGAAAAUCUGUAGACAAAAAGCCUGAUAAAUUCCUGUGGAAAGAUAGAAUCCUUCUAUUAAUUCAAAGCAAGGCACACCUUUAAUACUAAAACUCAUUCUGUAUCUUAUGUAUCUCCUUAUUUCUCUAUGCUGCAAAGCAAUACUUUAAGACAAUGACAGAACCAAUACUGCAUUACUAAUGACUGCUUUAAUCACCACUGCAGUGUGAGAGCUUUCACCUCCAGCCAGGCAGGUUGUCUUCUCCUCAUCUGAAGGCAACUGAGAGCUUAAAACAGCAUCAGUGUUAAACAGGCACUCCACACAAUCAAGAUGAACCUCCACAGAGAUGAUAAUGCAGGAAGGAUUAGCACUCCACACUCCAGUACAUGAAAGAGUCUGCAGAACAAGACAAGCUGGGACUUCAAAGAACUAUUUCAUAUUCCCCAUACUAAUGAAACAGAUUCAUCAGUGAAUGCAAGUUGCAUGGAUCAGACAAGAUGAACAACAUUUUGCCACUUCAUUUGUCUACUGUUACUGCAAGUUUAGAAUAAUUCACUCAGGGAACACCAAAUCAUUCAGCAAAGCCACACAACUAUCACAGCUGCCACCUCUACCAUUACAGCAUCCUCUCUGGAAAUGCACAACUCUUAUGACUUCCUUUGCUCCUCUCUCACAGGCCAGAUCUCUGUGCUGUACCCAGCUCACCGCGCCCACAGCCCAACCAGACUCCUGCUCCUAACCCUGCACCUCCUGUAAGCCAUUGGCAGCUUUGUAAUUUGGUGGCUAUCUCAAACUCCUGUUUGCAUUCUUAGCACAUAUCUGGAACACUAACAGAACGAAAAAAAAAAAAACAAAAAAACUUUCAAACAUCUUAAAAAAAAAAAAAAACCUCAAACUUUACCCCAUUAAAUCCUUUUCUGCCCCCAGCCCCCACCAAAAGACCAUUAUCUAAAGGUUUCUGAGCAUUGAUUCACAAAUAAAGGUUAUCAACUAUUAGGAUCACACCCAAGUACGUCCUAUUGCAUCCACAGUGCUGUGGGCAGGCAUUUUUACAACAAUGGAUUAUUUUUCUUAAACUAUUCAGAGACAGAAAUUUGCACAAAUAGAUGCUUUUAUUUGGAGAACACACUGUUAGAAAAUACUUUAGUGUAAAGAAACCCUUGAGGUCUUCUGUUGGUUUACUUUCUUAAAGUUCUAACAUAUACAUUUAUUAUUACUGUAAAAUAAUAUUUGAGUGCUUGCUCCGAACUAGUAGCAAUAGUUAAGUAAUUCAGCUACCCUUAAAAAUAAUAAGCACAUAACAGUAAGCACAUAAUAGUUUUGUCACCCCAAAGCCCAACUUCACAUGGCAGAGAACGUAGUAAACAGCAAAUCACGAGGAAUUUCCUGCUGUCAGUCAGCCACAGAAAAGCAGCCUGUACACUAGGUUGCAUGGUAAGGCAAUCAAGUACAGCUCAGCAGAACGGACUCAGUUCCAAACUGAGGCUCUGAAUGGUAAACCUGACACAAAUUAUGUCAUCUUUGUCAUUAGCUUCUUGUUUAUCAGUUAGUAAUAGCCGUAAAAUCCUUCUGCUCUGCCUGCUUCUUGACAAGCUUUAAAAAGCCUGUUGUAAGAUUAGACCUCUACACUAAUGCUCUGAUGUUGGCUAAUAAAUCCAGCAACUUAGCAGCUGGAAAGAUUUUACAUAUUUUCAACCUCCUGUUUCAAUCUUUCAUCACUGAAAACAAGACGACUUUGAGGGACACAGUGAGCAACCAUGCUCCAGAACCCAGGGGUAAAACCUGAACACCAAGCUUGUUUCCAGCGAGAACAAGCAACAUCACUUCAAAUGACCUAAGGCAAUGGGGCUUAAGGGAAAUUAUUGAUCAGCUGUCUAUGGAGUAUUGCUUGCUGCCAAAUGAAACAACCAACCUCCUCAACUCAAUAUCAUAUUUCUCAGUACAUUACUGAUUUAAUGACACCUAAUGUAAUAUGCAAGGAUAAAAGGAUGGGGUUGUUUGUUUGCAACAUGCAUCGUCCUUCAGUAUUUACGAGUUUUGAAAGACCAGAAGGGCAGAACUGCUCUUGUCAUGGAAACUUUGGGCCAACUAUGAGAAGAUACCAAAGCUGAGAAUGAAAAUAUAGUACAAGUUGAAGCAAGAUUCCCCCUCGUCGUGCUGCAGAUAUUACUGGCAUAGCUCCCGGUGGGCAACUGCAACAUAAGGUGAACACAGUCCUUGCCAGAAGUGUAAAAAAAAAAUGACAAUUAUCAUUUACCAAUUUAAUUAAACUGUAGAAGUAUUACACAUAAACAUUAUCUGGCAUUGGGCGGCCAUCCACUCUGUCAUUUCUUGCUGGUUAAAACUCUCAUUUUUUCUUUUAUUUCUGGAAAUAUUAAAAAAAAAUUAUCCAGAAUGUCUGGAUAUGGAUUUUGGCUGUUAAUAAGCUAUGUAGCAUUUUUUUUUUUGGUUCUCGGUUCUUGCUCCAAUGAUCUACCCUCUCUCUCUUUCCCUUACUGAAGUCCCAUUUGCUAAAUCCUCUUGCUCAUGUCAGUUCUUUUUUUCCAGCAGCCCAUGUGUCACAGCCAUUCACACCUGCACAGAGCAGAGCAGGGCUGUCCCAUCCUGCAGGAGAGCAGCAGAGGCUUGGUCCUACUUCAAGCAGCUGCAGUGACUGCACAGAAGACACUGGGAAAAGAGUAGCAGCAUAAUGGAAUCAAGAUUUGAACUGUGAUACCACAGCAUCCACAACAGCCCAUUGGUGAGACAACUACAGUUUCCGAUGGUGGGAAAAGGCACAGAUGGUGAAGGCACGCAGCACACUUCUUCCUGUUCUUUCCACUGGAGUACACUGCAGCGAAAAGAAGCAACUAAGUACUACUUCAAGGUUUGAAUCCCAGUGCAGAACAACUAAAAUGUCCAACGUACAAUGAAGAUCAGCAAACAAAAAAUGAAGUUUCAGUCCCUGACAAUGAGAAACAGGCUCUGAAACAAGCCCUUAAUGUAGGUAUUGGUAUGCCAAUUAAGUAAAUUCAAAAUACACCUCCAUGAGAUUAAUGCUGAAUUCAGCAAAAAGCUUUUUUAGUCUGCUUUCUUUCAUUAAAUAUAUGCCCAACGAGAAAGCAGAAUGUCCAAAUAUUUUUUCACUCCAGAGGUUAACGAAACAGCAACUAUGAUACAUGUUCAGUAUCACACCAAUCAACAAGGACAGGUAGGAGACAGCAAGAGAGUGCGAGUGAAAAGCAACAGCCACUAGGAAAAAUAAAGACCAAAGCGCACAGCAUUAGGGAGGAAACCCAUCUGACAUAGUGCUGAUGUUAAGUAAGAGUGCUGAUGUUAAGUAAAAGAUACAGACAGGCUCUAGCCACAAUGGUUGAAAAUUCAGACCUGUCAAGUAAGCUGGCUGUACUGAUGCUCUUCCACAACCAGAUGCCCUAGAUACCCAUCUUGUUACUCCACUGUUUAUGACUGCAAAGACAAUAACUUACAGAAAUAAUGUGUUCAGCAGUCCAUUUUCUGGGACAAAGUGUGGAGCAAGGCAAAAGCAUAUGGGAACGGAACCUACAGGACCAGUAUCAAGUGGGAAAAAAGUGAAUUUUAAAAAUUCCCAAACUUUCCUACUAUGCUGACUCUUUUACCUUCUGACCACGGACAACAGAUUUUUCAUUGCUGUCCCAUGGAAGAAAAUGAACUGGUGUUUGUAUGACGUGAUCUACAAAGUGAACACACAAAGGCAUUUCGAUGCUGUAUCACAGUGCCCCUCCCAGCCAAACCAGCAAGGGCAUGUCUACUGGCACCAGACAGAUAACAAAAAAAUGUUUCUUGUACAAAUCAACAAGAGACAUGGUGGCCAAUGACUUAAAAAAAAAAACUCAAUGUUAAGCACUGUACGCAUCAAAGCUGACGGAUCAGAUCAAGUUCAUAAUAUUACUUCCAAACAUCACAGAGAACCUGUUUCUUCAUUUUAUUUUCAUAAACUUGUUCCCUUCAGGAAAAAAAGCACACAUCAUGUGCUUCAACAGGUCUGGAUGCACAACACACUUUUACAGAAGGACAGACACAAAAACUGCAGUUUAGUAUUUUAAAAACUAUUUUUAAAAUUUAUGUAGUUCUGUAAAAUGUCUAACAUCGCCAGCACUUCCAGUUCAGUGUUUGAAUUCUGUAGAAAACCUCAGGUGAAGCUCUAGUUGUUAGUCUUUGAUCUCACUUCGUAUCAAUCUUUUUUCAAAUCAGUAUUGCAGAAACUGCAGAAUUAAGCAGGGCCUACUAGAAAAUUUUACACCCAGGAAAAUUCUAAUUAUCCAGCUAAGCAUGUGGCUUUUUGCUUGUUUGUUUUUAAUUUUUAAGGUGUAUGGCAUAAUAUUCAUUUUUCAGAUUUUUAUCUGUCAGGUCAUUAACAAGCCUCUGACUAAACUCAUAUUUUGCAGACUUUCACCUAGCAGAGAUUUCAUCCUCACUGAUGAAUAAAGGCCUCUGUUUUAAGAGAGAACACAGAUUGCAAAAGAAGACUAUGGCCAGAAGAGAAAAUCCACAUACAUUCUGCAUUACCUGAAGCAAUACAUGAGCUGAAGUUUUUGUCACACGGCGCUAACCUAAUACGGAGGUAUUAGAAACAAACAAGAAAAAAAAAAAAAACAGAAAGAAAACCUAGAAAACUGCUUCGUAUCUUCACAAUAACAGAAUACUGAUACCGUACACAUACUUUGGGUUCUUUUCCUUCUGAGUAAUAAAAGGGAUGAAAAUAAUUUUGUGCACAUAAGAAGCUCUGUGAUACUUUAAACAGUUCUCAUUUUGCAUGUGACGAGACUAAAGAAAAACCUACUUUAUUCGACCAUGGGAAAACAAAUUCAGUGGCAUUCCUAGUGAGUAACACAACCUGCCUGAUGCUCACACUCACUGGUCUAAAAGUGAUAGCGAGACUUCAAGCUCAUACUGCUAGUACACCUUUUUUUCUUCUGUUCAUAGACCAUCUUUCUUACCCCACUUAAUUUUAAUUUAAAAAUGUCCACUUUGAUUCAUACAUGAAUUCUCAGUUUUAAGGAAUCGGUCAGUACCCGCCUAAGUUUGAUUAGGCUGAAUUAACAGUCCAGAUGGAUUAUUAUAUCAUGCUGGUGACCUGGUAUGUUUACAAGAAAGUAGCAGUGAUAUUUCAAUGGAAACCACAGCCUAGAAAGUCCCAGAUGAAGAGAACACCUGGAGAACAUUCAUUUGCAAUGUAAGUCUUUCAAGAAAAGAUUUCAUUUUAAUGUUUAGUUGCCUACAUGAUGAACUGUUAAUUUAAACAUGACAAGAAUAUUUAAAAAGUUAUUUUAGUUUCAGAAAUACUUAGUCUACCUUGAACACAAUGUAUUUGACUCUUUACUUACAGGGGCUAUUCCUGCUUGAAUUCAGCAUCAUCUGGCAUGUGGUUAACACUGUAUUCUCUGUAACUGUCAGUCACGGCAAACAGAAAGGGAGAAAGAGGAACAAGUAACGCAGAGGAACCCAAUGAAACCCUAAAAUCCUUCUAAAGGUACUCAGUAGCAGGCGCAGUGCUUACUGCCCACAGGUAUGAUUUUUAGAUGUUUAGCAAAUUGCACCCUUUAACAGUAAGCUACAAUAGAGAAAUAUGGGCUCCGUUUUCAUUCUACUUAUAGCAACGCUAUAAGAAAGGAUACUUCAAGUACUUACAUUUUAGACCCUGGAUUCUGAAAAAUUAGCAAAACUAAGCUGUUCAGUAGCUCAAUUUUACAGGACUUUCACAAUCUCACAUUUGCCAUCAGCAGAUACGAUAGUCUUCACCUGGAAAAGUGACUAGUACAACUAGCCAAUACAGCUGAGCGCCUUGGAACAUUCUCAAUAGCACAAUGCAUACUCGCACUUGUAAAUGAAAGUAAACUCUGGUUUUUCCACGGCGAAGAUGGUAACUUCAUAAGCCACAGAAGCUCAGCUACUUACUCUGUCUAUCCCACAGUUCUAUCAAAAUUCAGUGGCUGUACAGCAUUGGAAAACAUGGCAUACCCUUAGCUGUACUGCAGGAAAAAGGAGACUCCCUGCAACUACCAAUUCUAAGGUAGCUUUCUACAACCAGAGCCAAUUAAAUUAAGCCUUGAAUGAAUCAACAUAGCACAAGUUAAGAAGUUGCAAGCCAUGCAUGCAGAGACCUGCAUUUUCAAGGAACAAGAACUGGCAGAAUCAAGCACAAAGAUGCGUUUACAAUAAGCUGUACUCAUACUACAGUUUAUCUGCUCCAAAGAAGUUUAAAGUUCGAUAGCACCAGAGCAAAAGAGAAACACAAAUGCUUAUAGACUGCAGCAGGACAGUCUGAACUCUCACAGCAGCUUAUAAACCGAAAACACUGGUAGAACUUCCUGUUCAUUUACUUUGAAAAUAUAAAACAACCACAGUAUUUUAAGUCUACAGGGCGAACCAUUUUACAGCUUGUUACUUUCAACGUUGAAAUCUACCUACAUAUACCUCACAUAAGGAGACAGGGAUUACACGUAAAAAAAGUUUUCCAUGUCUUUCUCUUUUGAGAGAGAAAUAUUCAGAAUAUCCUUGGUUGCUUUCUAUAUCUCUCCCAUAACCUGUGUGAAGUUUAUUAACUCUUAUAUUUUGUAGUAUUUUAGUUUAGCUUAGGGAGAUUUGGGAAAAAAGCAACAUUCACAAUAAUACUAGCUUAAAAAAAAACCAAAGCACCAAACUUCAUUUUUUAAAACUGAGAACAGUUACAAUAUUACUCUUACAGGUCUCAAGCCGAACUGUAUUUAACUGUAACUAUACUUCAGUUUUGCAGAGUGCAUGCAGCUGUAGAGGUCGUGCUGUUUUCAAUAUUCUCAAUUCUCUCAAUUCUGAACAUAUCUGAAAAUCUAGAUGAUAAUCAGUUCUUUAUUUUACAAUCUACUGACUGUAAAAAAAAAAAAAAGUGUAUGAAUUCUGCAUCCUUCACAUGGAAAACUAAGCAUGAGCUGUCGCCAUAGGAGAUUCAGUGAAAACCAACAGUAUUAAGUUGGUAUAGGUUGCAGUGUCUGCUUUGCAUGGGAUUCCUAGCUGAAUGCUAAAUUCACAGAUCUCUUUAACAUUAUUAACACAUCAGACUUAAUACCAUUAGCCAACAUACUAACAUCAACCUACCUAGUUUAUAUAAACACAAGAAGCAAUUUAACCUUUAUUUGAGGUUUGUGUUUUUAAGAUGGUAUCUCAUUCUACCAACGUGUGUAAGGAGUUAGAAAGCAAAAUUCUUAAAGACUUUUACGUAUAGAAUACCAUUAAAAGCUGAUAGUGAAUUCACUAUAAGCAAGUGAAAAUUCAACGUCCCUUUGAUAUUCUGGUCAAAAACAUAUUCCUUUAUCUUGUUCUCCCCUCCUCUAACUGAAAGCCUCAACCGUGCUUUUUAAAGAACCACAGAAUGGCUUAGGUUAGAAGGGACCUUAGAGAGACCAUCCAGUCCCAACCCC